CGGAGCAUAGCGCAGUCCGGUAGCGCACCUGCUUUGGGAGCAGGGGGUCGCAGGUUCGAAUCCUGCUGCUCCGACCA
rnacentral:tRNA from 1 species